GGACCCGCACAAGUAGUGGAGCAUGUGGUUUAAUUCGAAGAUACGCGCAGAACCUUACCAACACUUGACAUGUUCGUCGCGACUUUAAGAGAUUAAAGUUUUCGGUUCGGCCGGACGAAACACAGGUGCUGCAUGGCUGUCGUCAGCUCGUGUCGUGAGAUGUUGGUUAAGUCCCGCAACGAGCGCAACCCUCACUUUUAGUUGCCAUCAUUAAGUUGGGCACUCUGAAAGAACUGCCAGUGAUAAGCUGGAGGAAGGUGGGGAUGACGUCAAGUCCUCAUGGCCCUUACGUGUUGGGCUACACACGUGCUACAAUGGUAUCUACAACAGGAAGCAAGACUGCGGUGAAUACGUUC
rnacentral:rRNA from 1 species